CCUACGGGUGGCAGCAGUGGGGAAUAUUGCACAAUGGGCGCAAGCCUGAUGCAGCCAUGCCGCGUGUGUGAAGAAGGCCUUCGGGUUGUAAAGCACUUUCAGCGGGGAGGAAGGCGGUGAGGUUAAUAACCUCAUCGAUUGACGUUACCCGCAGAAGAAGCACCGGCUAACUCCGUGCCAGCAGCCGCGGUAAUACGGAGGGUGCAAGCGUUAAUCGGAAUUACUGGGCGUAAAGCGCACGCAGGCGGUCUGUCAAGUCGGAUGUGAAAUCCCCGGGCUCAACCUGGGAACUGCAUUCGAAACUGGCAGGCUAGAGGCUUGUAGAGGGGGUAGAAUUCCAGGUGUAGCGGUGAAAUGCGUAGAGAUCUGGAGGAAUACCGGUGGCGAAGGCGGCCCCCUGGACAAAGACUGACGCUCAGGUGCGAAAGCGUGGGGAGCAAACAGGAUUAGAUACCCCAGUAGUC
rnacentral:rRNA from 1 species